AUUGAACGCUGGCGGCAGGCCAAACACAUGCAAGUCGAGCGGAUGAAGGGAGCUUGCUCCUGGAUUCAGCGGCGGACGGGUGAGUAAUGCCUAGGAAUCUGCCUGGUAGUGGGGGAUAACGUCCGGAAACGGGCGCUAAUACCGCAUACGUCCUGAGGGAGAAAGUGGGGGAUCUUCGGACCUCACGCUAUCAGAUGAGCCUAGGUCGGAUUAGCUAGUUGGUGGGGUAAAGGCCUACCAAGGCGACGAUCCGUAACUGGUCUGAGAGGAUGAUCAGUCACACUGGAACUGAGACACGGUCCAGACUCCUACGGGAGGCAGCAGUGGGGAAUAUUGGAAAAUGGGCGAAAGCCUGAUCCAGCCAUGCCGCGUGUGUGAAGAAGGUCUUCGGAUUGUAAAGCACUUUAAGUUGGGAGGAAGGGCAGUAAGUUAAUACCUUGCUGUUUUGACGUUACCAACAGAAUAAGCACCGGCUAACUUCGUG
rnacentral:rRNA from 1 species